rnacentral:rRNA from 1 species
CACGUAGGGCGCGAGCGUUGUCCGGAAUUAUUGGGCGUAAAGAGCUCGUAGGCGGCCUGUUGCGUCCGCUGUGAAAGCCCGGGGCUUAACCCCGGGUCGGCAGUGGAUACGGGCAGGCUAGAGGUAGGUAGGGGAGAAUGGAAUUCCCGGUGUAGCGGUGAAAUGCGUAGAUAGUCGGGAGGAACACCUGUGGCGAAAGCGGCUCACUGGACCGCAACUGACGCUGAGGCGCGAAAGCGUGGGGAGCAAACAGG